rnacentral:lncRNA from 1 species
GUAGAAGUUGGAUACAAGCAGGAUAGGUCGGUUGCAUUAUAUUCUAUCAAUCCGGAAAUUUUUAUACUCAUCACAUACUAAUGAAUUUCUCCCCCGAUUUGCUAUAAAAAAACUUCAAAUGUUCGUUACUUAACAAAACUUUACAAUCUAACUUACAAUAAAUUAUUUACGAAUUUUAAAGAGAUCACUAUUCGGGGUACUUGAGCACCCUGAAAAAUUCGCAAUGAAGUUAC